rnacentral:rRNA from 1 species
GUGCCAGCCGCCGCGGUAAUACGGAGGGAGCUAGCGUUGUUCGGAAAUACUGGGCGUAAAGCGCGCGUAGGCGGUUCAGUAAGUCAGGGGUGAAAUCCCGGAGCUCAACUCCGGAACUGCCCUUGAAACUGCUAGACUAGAAUCCUGGAGAGGCGAGUGGAAUUCCGAGUGUAGAGGUGAAAUUCGUAGAUAUUCGGAAGAACACCAGUGGCGAAGGCGACUCGCUGGACAGGUAUUGACGCUGAGGUGCGAAAGCGUGGGGAGCAAACAGGAUUAGAUACCCGGGUAGUCC